rnacentral:rRNA from 1 species
GCAAGUCGAACGAGAAAGCUCUUCGGAGUGAGUAGAGUGGCGCACGGGUGAGUAACACGUAGGUGACCUACCAUACAGUAGGGGAUAACCAGGAGAAAUUCUGGCUAAUACCGCAUACGAAGCACAAAUUUGAAAGUAGUGCUUGAAAGGAUGCUUCGGCAUUCACUGUUUGAUGGGCCUGCGUAGCAUUAGUUUGAUGGUGGGGUAACGGCCUACCAUGACUACGAUGCUUAGCUGGUCUGAGAGGAUGAUC